AUUGAACGCUGGCGGCAGGCCUAACACAUGCAAGUCGAACGGUAACAGGAAGCAGCUUGCUGCUUCGCUGACGAGUGGCGGACGGGUGAGUAAUGUCUGGGAAACUGCCUGAUGGAGGGGGAUAACUACUGGAAACGGUAGCUAAUACCGCAUAACGUCGCAAGACCAAAGAGGGGGACCUUCGGGCCUCUUGCCAUCGGAUGUGCCCAGAUGGGAUUAGCUAGAGGUGGGGUAACGGCUCACCUAGGCGACGAUCCCUACGCUGGUCUGAGAGGAUGACCAGCCACACUGGAACUGAGACACGGUCCAGACUCCUACGGAGGCAGCAGUGGGAAUAUUGCACAAUGGGCGCAAGCCUGAUGCAGCCAUGCCGCGUGUAUGAAGAA
rnacentral:rRNA from 1 species